CCUACGGGAGGCAGCAGUGAGGAAUAUUGGUCAAUGGGCGGGAGCCUGAACCAGCCAAGUCGCGUGAGGGAAGACGGUCCUACGGAUUGUAACCCUCUUUUGCCGGGGAGCAACGGGGUCCUUGCGAGGGCCCAAUGCGUGUACCCGGAUACAAAGCAUCGGCUAACUCCGUGCCAGCAGCCGCGGUAAUACCGAGGAUGCGAGCGUUAUACGGAUUUCUUGGGUUUAAAGGGUGCGUAGGCGGGCUGUUAAGUCAGCGGUCAAAUGUCGGGGCUCAACCCCGGCCUGCCGGUGAAACUGGCGGCCUCGAGUGGGCGAGAAGUAUGCGGAAGGCGUGGUGUAGCGGUGAAAUGCAUAGAGAUCACGCAGAACUCCGAUUGCGAAGGCAGCAUACCGGCGCCCUACUGACGCUGAGGCACGAAAGCGUGGGUAUCGAACAGGAUUAGAUACCCUAGUAGUC
rnacentral:rRNA from 1 species